rnacentral:rRNA from 1 species
AUUGAACGCUGGCGGCAGGCCUAACACAUGCAAGUCGAACGGUAGCACAGAGAGCUUGCUCUCGGGUGACGAGUGGCGGACGGGUGAGUAACGUCUGGGAAACUGCCCGAGGGAGGGGGAUAACUACUGGAAACGGUAGCUAAUAACGCAUAACGUCGCAAGACAAAAGUGGGGGACCUUCGGGCCUCACACCAUCGGAUGUGCCCAGAUGGGAUUAGCUAGUAGGUGGGGUAAUGGCUCACCUAGGCGACGAUCCCUAGCUGGUCUGAGAGGAUGACCAGCCACACUGGAACUGAGACACGGUCCAGACUCCUACGGGAGGCAGCAGUGGGGAAUAUUGCACAAUGGGCGCAAGCCUGAUGCAGCCAUGCCGCGUGUAUGAAGAAGGCCUUCGGGUUGUAAAGUACUUUCAGCGGGGAGGAAGGCGGUGAAGUUAAUAACUUCACCGAUUGACGUUACCCGCAGAAGAAGCACCGGCUAACUCCGUGCCAGCCGCCGCAGUAA